CAGCCUGAUCCAGCCAUGCCGCGUGAGUGAUGAAGGCCUUAGGGUCGUAAAGCUCUUUCGCCUGUGAAGAUAAUGACUGUAGCAGGUAAAGAAACCCCGGCUAACUCCGUGCCAGCAGCCGCGGUAAUACGGAGGGGGUUAGCGUUGUUCGGAAUUACUGGGCGUAAAGCGCGCGUAGGCGGACUGGAAAGUUGGGGGUGAAAUCCCAGGGCUCAACCCUGGAACUGCCUCCAAAACUAUCAGUCUAGAGUUCGAGAGAGGUGAGUGGAAUUCCGAGUGUAGAGGUGAAAUUCGUAGAUAUUCGGAGGAACACCAGUGGCGAAGGCGGCUCACUGGCUCGAUACUGACGCUGAGGUGCGAAAGUGUGGGGAGCAAACAGGAUUAGAUACCCUGGUAGUCCACACCGUAAACGAUGAAUGCCAGUCGUCGGGUAGCAUGCUAUUCGGUGACACACCUAACGGAUUAAGCAUUCCGCCUGGGGAGUACGGUCGCAAGAUUAAAAC
rnacentral:rRNA from 1 species